rnacentral:rRNA from 1 species
AUUGAACGCUGGCGGCAGGCCUAACACAUGCAAGUCGAACGGCAGCACGGGAGCAAUCCUGGUGGCGAGUGGCGAACGGGUGAGUAAUAUAUCGGAACGUGCCCAGUCGUGGGGGAUAACGUAGCGAAAGCUACGCUAAUACCGCAUACGAUCUAUGGAUGAAANCGGGGGAUCGCAAGACCUCGCGCGAUUGGAGCGGCCGAUAUCAGAUUAGGUAGUUGGUGAGGUAAAGGCUCACCAAGCCGACGAUCUGUAGCUGGUCUGAGAGGACGACCGGGCCACACU